AACGAGCGCUGGCGGCAGGCUUAACACAUGCAAGUCGAAGGUGAAGCGGGGCUUCGGCCCCGUGGAAACUGGCGCACGGGUGAGUAACGCGUGGGAAUCUACCCCGGGGUGGGGAAUAACCGCUGGAAACGGCGGCUAAUACCGCAUACGCCUUGAGAGGGAAAGCUUUUGCGCCCUGGGAUGAGCCCGCGUCGGAUUAGCUUGUUGGUGGGUAACGGCUCACCAAGGCGACGAUCCGUAGCUGGUCUGAGAGGAUGAUCAGCCACACUGGGACUGAGACACGGCCCAGACUCCUACGGGAGGCAGCAGUGGGGAAUAUUGGACAAUGGGGGAAACCCUGAUCCAGCCAUGCCGCGUGCGUGAAGAAGGCCUUAGGGUUGUAAAGCGCUUUCGGCGGGGAAGAUGAUGACGGUACCCGCAGAAGAAGCUCCGGCUAACUCCAUG
rnacentral:rRNA from 1 species